GGGAUCUUGCGCAUGGGCGAAGCCUGNGCAGCGACGCCGCGUGGGGGAUGAAGCUUCUCGGAGUGUAAACCCCUUUCGACCCGGACGAAACACCCGCAAGGGUUUGACGGUACGGGUAUAAGAAGCCCCGGCUAACUACGUGCCAGCAGCCGCGGUAAGACGUAGGGGGCCAGCGUUGCUCGGAAUUACUNGGGCGUAAAGGGUUCGUAGGCGGUGCGGUAAGUCGGAAGUGAAAUCUCUGGGCUUAACCCAGAGGCUGCUUUCGAAACUGCCGUGCUAGAGUGCGGGAGAGGCGAGUGGAAUUGCAGGUGUAGCGGUGAAAUGCGUAGAUAUCUGCAGGAACACCCGUGGCGAAGGCGGCUCGCUGGACCGCAACUGACGCUGAGGAACGAAAGCUAGGGGAGCAAACAGGAUUAGAUACCCUGGUAGUCCUAGCCCUAAACCAUCAGGACUUGGGGUGGCCCGCGUUGGCGGGUCGUCCCGGAGCUAACGCGUUAAGUCCUGCGCCUGGGGAGUACGGUCGCAAGGCUGAAACUCAAAGAAAUUGACGGA
rnacentral:rRNA from 1 species